rnacentral:rRNA from 1 species
AUGGGGUUCGUCGAUGAGUACAGGCAGGUGGAGGCCCACGGCAACACCAAGUUGCACGUGAUCCACACCAACCCAACCCACAAUCUGCACAACCGCAUCGUCGGCGAGAUCAUGCAGUUCAUUCAUUGUAGCCAUCCCACCUUAAAUUCAGACCCCCACCAAGGCUUUCUCAUCCACAACAACACAAGUCACCAUUGCGCUGCCACCAAACCCCUCCACCUCAUCAAUCUCCACAGAAGACACCAAGCCCUACUGCCCGCGAUGGGGUUCAUCAAUGAGUACAGGCAGGUGGAGGCCCAUGGCAACAUCAAGUUGCACGUGAUCCACACCAACGACAAGAAGCAGAUGGCGACUUCCCUCGAGCAGUACAAGCACCACCUCAGGCUCCACAGACACAAGAUCGUCGGAAUUGAUCUGGAGUACACCAACGAGCCUGACGAGAUGCAGAGACCCGCUCUCAUCCAACUCUCUGUCGGCAAGACUCAGCUGGUGCUGCUCUUCCAACUGAACGUCGCUGAAAGGUGUACCGUCUUCGACAACUUCCUUGCCGACCCUAGGUACAUGUUUGCUGGCUUCUCCAUCGACACCGACAAAACCAGGCUCGAGCGCGUCAAUUUGGAGGUCGCCAACUCAGUCGAUAUCCAGAAGGAAUGGAGGGUGCCCGAGGCCACCAAGGAGUUGGACUCCCCUGCAGACAUUGCCUGCAUGCUCGUCGACGACUACUACAACAACAUGAAGAAGAAGAUCACCAACGAAGAACACAGGCGCUGGGACUCCCUGCCCCUGUCCAUGAGGCACAUCGAGUACGCGGCAAGGGACGCGUAUGCAACGUACGAGAUAUGGAACCGCAUCACCCUCACCUAG